CUCGUACGGUACAUGGUGGGAGGCACAGCGACGCCCGCUCCUGCCCCCUGAGUUCCUGAACCUGGUCUUUCGCCGGCACAGCGGUGGACCGGCGGGCGGUCGGCCGAUGUCCGGCUCGGGGGAGAUCGUUCUUCGGCUUCGCGCGGUCCCCACCGGCGGCCCCAUCCGCACCAAGGUCCCAGGUCUGCGUCUGCGCUUCCCUUGCCGUUCCUCCCGCCGCGCGCCGCUCACCAACCUGCUCGCCCCCGCGUUUGCUUCCGGUCAGCUGAUGCCGCAUGCUUUUCGGCAGCAGUUGCUUCUCCUCGCUGAAAAAAUACUUACAUAUUUUGUUUUUGAGUUUCCA
rnacentral:misc_RNA from 1 species